AAGGGCACCACAAGAACGCGUGGAGCAUGUGGCUUAAUUUGACUCAACGCGGGAAAUCUUACCGGGUCCGGACACACUGAGGAUUGACAGGCAAUCAUGUGAAUCGUUUUUAUCUUUUAAAACAUUCGCAUAUAAAUAUGCUAGUCCUUUCAUGAUUAUGUGAUAGGUGGUGCAUGGCCGUUCUUAGUUCGUAGAGUGAUCUGUCUGCUUAAUUGCGUUUCAUACUGGACUUAGAAAUCAAGUGUGUUUAUUUUUCUUGUGCGGUUAUGUUUUAAUGCAUUUUGUUACCCCAUUUUUUGGGUGAGUUUCAAUUUGUGUUUUACAUUCCGUGCUUUAUUGAUAAAUAAAUACACAUCUAGUCCUGAAAGCAACGAACGUGACCGCAUCCUCUUGUUGCCUUUUAACUUAAAACAUUUUUUUUUAUUUUUUUUACUUUAAUUUCUUGUUUUAUAAUAUAAGAGGCUUUCUUAAAACUAGAGGGACCGCUGCGACUUUUUUAAACCAGAGGAAGGUUGCGGCAAUAGCAGGUCUGUGAUGCCCUUAGAUGUUCCGGGCUGCACACGUGCUACAAUGAUUAUUGCAGUGAGCAUCUCAUUUACAGCACUGUUUUCAUUUUUUUUUUAAAAUGAGCAGUCAAAGCCUGCUUCGAAAGUUCGCAGGUAAUCAAUUGGAAGUAAUGAUUUCCCUUAACUCAAAUUUAUUUUUGAUUUUGUAAGCACACAAUAUGCUGCUCCCCUCCCUGGCAUUUAGCUUUUUGUCUAUUUGUCAUUGUGUGUGGGGAUGCUCAGCAUGUGCUUUUUGUCAAUUCAUGGUGGGGACAGACCAUUGUUAAUUGUUGGUCUCGGUCUCAACUAGGAAUGCCUUGUACGGGUCUUUGGUUCAACAAACCACCCGGAAUACGUCCCUGCCCUUUGUACACACCGCCCGUCGCUCUUACCGAUGGACUUCUCUGUGAGGUUGAGAAACUGGGUACCUUAGUUUUUUUUAUUUUUUUUUUAAUUUAAAAAAAGCUAUAAUCACUUAUGGAAACUUAAACGAACAGUGUGGUCUAAAGGAAAGAGAAGUCG
rnacentral:rRNA from 1 species